rnacentral:rRNA from 1 species
ACUCCUACGGGAGGCAGCAGUGGGGAAUAUUGCACAAUGGGCGCAAGCCUGAUGCAGCCAUGCCGCGUGUGUGAAGAAGGCCUUCGGGUUGUAAAGCACUUUCAGCAGUGAGGAAGGCGGAGUCGUUAAUAGCGGCCUCGUUUGACGUUAGCUGCAGAAGAAGCACCGGCUAACUCCGUGCCAGCAGCCGCGGUAAUACGGAGGGUGCGAGCGUUAAUCGGAAUUACUGGGCGUAAAGCGCAUGCAGGUGGUUUGUUAAGUCAGAUGUGAAAGCCCGGGGCUCAAACCUCGGAAUAGCAAUUUGAAACUGGCAGACUAGAGUACUGUAGAGGGGGGUAGAAUUUCAGGUGUAGCGGUGAAAUGCGUAGAGAUCUGAAGGAAUACCGGUGGCGAAAGGCGGCCCCCUGGACAGAUACUGACACUCAGAUAGCG